rnacentral:rRNA from 1 species
CGUGUAGGCGGUUUUUUAAGUCUGAUGUGAAAGCCCCGGGCUUAACCUGGGAAGUGCAUUGGAGACUGGAAGACUUGAGUACGGGAGAGGAAAGCGGAAUUUCGAGUGUAGGGGUGAAAUCCGUAGAUAUUCGAAGGAACACCAGUGGCGAAGGCGGCUUUCUGGACCGAUACUGACGCUGAGACGCGAGAGCGUGGGGAGCAAACAGGAUUAGAUACCCUGGUAGUCC